rnacentral:sRNA from 1 species
AUAUCUCUCUGUACGGGAAGGAUGAGAAGCUUCGACCAAGGUUCGAUUCGAGCGUCAGCGAGAAGCGUUGCCGCAGGCAACGACCCGAAGGGCGAAGCGCGCAGCGCUGAGUCAUCCUUCCCCCACCACCA